rnacentral:rRNA from 1 species
UACGUAGGGUGCAAGCGUUAAUCGGAAUUACUGGGCGUAAAGCGUGCGCAGGCGGUUGUGCAAGACAGAUGUGAAAUCCCCGGGCUCAACCUGGGAACUGCAUUUGUGACUGCACGGCUGGAGUGCGGCAGAGGGGGAUGGAAUUCCGCGUGUAGCAGUGAAAUGCGUAGAUAUGCGGAGGAACAUCGAUGGCGAAGGCAAUCCCCUGGGCCUGCACUGACGCUCAUGCACGAAAGCGUGGGGAGCAAACAGG